rnacentral:rRNA from 1 species
UACGUAGGGUGCGAGCGUUGUCCGGAUUUAUUGGGCGUAAAGAGCUCGUAGGCGGUUUGUCGCGUCGGCCGUGAAAUCUCCACGCUUAACGUGGAGCGUGCGGUCGAUACGGGCAGACUUGAGUUCGGUAGGGGAGACUGGAAUUCCUGGUGUAGCGGUGAAAUGCGCAGAUAUCAGGAGGAACACCGGUGGCGAAGGCGGGUCUCUGGGCCGAUACUGACACUGAGGCGCGAAAGCGUGGGGAGCGAACAGG